UCCCCACCCCGGUGAGAAUGCCCUUAACAUCAAUUUAGAUCAAGAGGAGCAGGCAUUAAGCACACUAUUUAGUAGCUCAAGAUGCCUUGCUUAACCACACCCCCAAGGGAAACAGCAGUGAUAGAAAUUUAGCAAUGAACGCAAGUUUGACUAAGUUAUGCUACUCUAGGGUUGGUAAAUUUCGUGCCAGCCACCGCGGUCAUACGAUUAACCCAAACUAAUAAAUUUCCGGCGUAAAGCGUGAUUAGAAACCAAAACAAGAAAAAUAAAAUCAAAUAACAACUAAGCUGUAAAAAGUAAUAGUUGCAAACAAAAAUAAACGACGAAAGUGAUUUUAUAACCUUCGAACUCACGAUAGCUAAGACCCAAACUGGGAUUAGAUACCCCACUAUGCUUAGCCCUAAACCUAAAUAAUUCCAUAACAAAAUUACUCGCCAGAGAACUACAAGCCAGAGCUUAAAACUCAAAGGACUUGGCGGUGCUUUAUACCCACCUAGAGGAGCCUGUUCUAUAAUCGAUAAACCCCGAUAAACCUUACCACUCUUUGCCAACUCAGCCUAUAUACCGCCAUCUUCAGCGAACCCUAAAAAGGAACAAAAGUAAGCUCAAUUAUCCCCAUAAAAACGUUAGGUCAAGGUGUAGCCUAUAGAGUGGAAAGUAAUGGGCUACAUUUUCUACUUCAGAACAUACGAAAGCCCUUAUGAAACUCUAAGAGCCAAAGGAGGAUUU
rnacentral:rRNA from 1 species